UGGAGAGUUUGAUCCUGGCUCAGGACGAACGCUGGCGGCGUGCUUAACACAUGCAAGUCGAACGGAAAGGCCCUUUCGGGGGUACUCGAGUGGCGAACGGGUGAGUAACACGUGGGUGAUCUGCCCUGCACUUUGGGAUAAGCCUGGGAAACUGGGUCUAAUACCGAAUAUUCCCUGCUGGCCGCAUGGUCUGGUGGGGGAAAGCUUUUGCGGUGUGGGAUGAGCCCGCGGCCUAUCAGCUUGUUGGUGGGGUGAUGGCCUACCAAGGCGACGACGGGUAGCCGGCCUGAGAGGGUGUCCGGCCACACUGGGACUGAGAUACGGCCCAGACUCCUACGGGAGGCAGCAGUGGGGAAUAUUGCACAAUGGGCGCAAGCCUGAUGCAGCGACGCCGCGUGGGGGAUGACGGCCUUCGGGUUGUAAACCUCUUUCAGUACCGACGAAGCGCAAGUGACGGUAGGUACAGAAGAAGCACCGGCCAACUACGUGCCAGCAGCCGCGGUA
rnacentral:rRNA from 1 species